GAUGAACGCUGACAGAAUGCUUAACACAUGCGAGUCUACUUGAACUUCGGUUUGGGUGGCGGACGGGUGAGUAACGCGUAAAGAACUUGCCUCACAGAUAGGGACAACAUUUGGAAACGAAUGCUAAUACCUGAUAUUAUGAUUUUAGGGCAUCCUAGAAUUAUGAAAGCUAUAUGCACUGUGAGAGAGCUUUGCGUCCCAUUAGCUAGUUGGAGAGGUAACGGCUCACCAAGGCGAUGAUGGGUAGCCGGCCUGAGAGGGUGAUCGGCCACAAGGGGACUGAGACACGGCCCGUACUCCUACGGGAGGCAGCAGUGGGGAAUAUUGGACAAUGGACCAAGAGUCUGAUCCAGCAAUUCUGUGUGCACGAUGAAGUUUUUCGGAAUGUAAAGUGCUUUCAGUUGGGAAGAAAAAAAUGACGGUACCAACAGAAGAAGUGACGGCUAAAUACGUG
rnacentral:rRNA from 1 species